CGUCUCAGUUCGGACUGUGGUCUGCAACCCGACCACACGAAGCUGGAAUCGCUAGUAAUCGCGAAUCAGAAUGUCGCGGUGAAUACGUUCCCGGGUCUUGUACACACCGCCCGUCACACCAUGGGAGUCAGCAACGCCCGAAGUCAGUGACCUAACCGAAAGGAAGGAGCUGCCGAAGGUGGAGCCGGUAACUGGGGUGAAGUCGUAACAAGGUACC
rnacentral:rRNA from 1 species